UGCUGCUCCGAUCACUUGCAUUGCUGUUAUCAGGGCACUCUGUGUGACCUGGUACACUCCAAGUGUGUGAACAAGACACACAUUUUAGACUGGGUGGAAAAAGUCGCCACAAAGCAGCAAGCAGUAAUUUGUCCAGAUCAGGAGUCUGAGUGUCCCGAUGACACCACCUGCUGCCAGAUGCCUGAUGGCAGCUGGGGCUGCUGUGCUAUGAAAAAUGCCGUGUGCUGUGAAGAUAAGAGACACUGCUGUCCUCAGGGAACUAAAUGUGACCUCGAGCAUUCAAGGUGUGUGUCGGCAACAUAUGGGCCCUCCCCACUCUGGAGGAAGUUCGCUGCCCGUCACAGGAAACCAUCAGAGAGGACCGCAGGU